rnacentral:rRNA from 1 species
GACGAACGCUGGCGGCGUGCUUAACACAUGCAAGUCGAACGGAAAGGCCCUGCUUUUGUGGGGUGCUCGAGUGGCGAACGGGUGAGUAACACGUGAGUAACCUGCCCUUGACUUUGGGAUAACUUCAGGAAACUGGGGCUAAUACCGGAUAGGAGCUCCUGCUGCAUGGUGGGGGUUGGAAAGUUUCGGCGGUUGGGGAUGGACUCGCGGCUUAUCAGCUUGUUGGUGGGGUAGUGGCUUACCAAGGCCUUGACGGGUAGCCGGCCUGAGAGGGUGACCGGCCACAUUGGGACUGAGAUACGGCCCAGACUCCUACGGGAGGCAGCAGUGGGGAAUAUUGCACAAUGGGCGGAAGCCUGAUGCAGCAACGCCGCGUGCGGGAUGACGGCCUUCGGGUUGUAAACCGCUUUCGCCUGUGACGAAGCGUGAGUGACGGCAAUGGGUAAAGAAGCACCGGCUAACUACGUG